GUAUCAUCACAAUGUGAUGAUAUGAAAAAUAAUACUGAAAUGUAACACUUUAAAUAAUAUUAUAUAUUUUCACAGUAGGUAGUAACAAGCGUAAGAAUAUCUUUUUUCCAGAAUAUGUCCAACUAGUGAAAAUAUUUUAAAGU